GGCGGGUUGGCGUAAUGGUAACGCGCUAGUUUCCGGAGAGGUGCGCUAGAGAUUCUGGGUUCGAGUCCCAGGCCUGUCG